UACGGGAGGCAGCAGUGGGGAAUAUUGCACAAUGGGCGCAAGCCUGAUGCAGCCAUGCCGCGUGUAUGAAGAAGGCCUUCGGGUUGUAAAGUACUUUCAGCAGUGAGGAGGGUGGAUAUGUUAAUAGCAUAUUCAUUUGACGUUAGCUGCAGAAGAAGCACCGGCUAACUCCGUGCCAGCAGCCGCGGUAAUACGGAGGGUGCGAGCGUUAAUCGGAAUUACUGGGCGUAAAGCGCAUGCAGGUGGUUUGUUAAGUCAGAUGUGAAAGCCCGGGGCUCAACCUCGGAAUUGCAUUUGAAACUGGCAAACUAGAGUACUGUAGAGGGGGUGGAAUUUCAGGUGUAGCGGUGAAAUGCGUAGAGAUCUGAAGGAAUACCGGUGGCGAAGGCGGCCCCCUGGACAGAUACUGACACUCAGAUGCGAAAGCGUGGGGAGCAAACAGGAUUAGAUACCCUGGUAG
rnacentral:rRNA from 1 species